AGAGUUUGAUCAUGGCUCAGAACGAACGCUGGCGGCAGGCUUAACACAUGCAAGUCGAACGCCCCGCAAGGGGAGUGGCAGACGGGUGAGUAACGCGUGGGAAUCUACCCUUUUCUACGGAAUAACGCAUGGAAACGUGUGCUAAUACCGUAUGAGCCCUUCGGGGGAAAGAUUUAUCGGAGAUGGAUGAGCCCGCGUUGGAUUAGCUAGUUGGUGGGGUAAAGGCCUACCAAGGCGACGAUCCAUAGCUGGUCUGAGAGGAUGAUCAGCCACAUUGGGACUGAGACACGGCCCAAACUCCUACGGGAGGCAGCAGUGGGGAAUAUUGGACAAUGGGCGCAAGCCUGAUCCAGCCAUGCCGCGUGUGUGAUGAAGGUCUUAGGAUUGUAAAGCACUUUCAACGGUGAAGAUAAUGACGGUAACCGUAGAAGAAGCCCCGGCUAACUUCGUGCCAGCAGCCGCGGUAAUACGAAGGGGGCUAGCGUUGUUCGGAAUUACUGGGCGUAAAGCGCACGUAGGCGGAUAUUUAAGUCAGGGGUGAAAUCCCGCAGCUCAACUGCGGAACUGCCUUUGAUACUGGGUAUCUUGAGUAUGGAAGAGGUGAGUGGAAUUCCGAGUGUAGAGGUGAAAUUCGUAGAUAUUCGGAGGAACACCAGUGGCGAAGGCGGCUCACUGGUCCAUUACUGACGCUGAGGUGCGAAAGCGUGGGGAGCAAACAGGAUUAGAUACCCUAGUAGUCC
rnacentral:rRNA from 1 species